CACGCCGUAAACGAUGAAUGCUAGACGUUGGGACCCCUAGGGUUUCAGUGUCGCCGCUAACGCAUGAAGCAUUCCGCCUGGGGAGUACGGCCGCAAGGUUAAAACUCAAAGGAAUUGACGGGGGCCCGCACAAGCGGUGGAGCAUGUGGUUUAAUUCGACGCAACGCGCAGAACCUUACCAGCUCUUGACAUGGGAAGUAUGGGCCUGAGAGAUCGGGUUCUUCAGUUCGGCUGGCUUCCACACAGGUGC
rnacentral:rRNA from 2 species